rnacentral:rRNA from 1 species
AGUGAACGCUGGCGGUAGGCCUAACACAUGCAAGUCGAACGGCAGCACAGGAGAGCUUGCUCUCUGGGUGGCGAGUGGCGGACGGGUGAGGAAUACAUCGGAAUCUACUCUGUCGUGGGGGAUAACGUAGGGAAACUUACGCUAAUACCGCAUACGACCUACGGGUGAAAGCAGGGGAUCUUCGGACCUUGCGCGAUUGAAUGAGCCGAUGUCGGAUUAGCUAGUUGGCGGGGUAAAGGCCCACCAAGGCGACGAUCGGUAGCUGGUCUGAGAGGAUGAUCAGCCACACUGGAACUGAGACACGGUCCAGACUCCUACGGGAGGCAGCAGUGGGGAAUAUUGGACAAUGGGCGCAAGCCUGAUCCAGCCAUACCGCGUGGGUGAAGGAGGCCUUCGGGUUGUAAAGCCCUUUUGUUGGGAAAGAAAUCCUGUCGAUUAAUACUCGGUGGGGAUGACGGUACCCAAAGAAUAAGCACCGGCUAACUUCGUGCAAGCCGCCGCCGUAACAC